GACGAACCGUGCGAACGUUGUUCGGAUUCACUGGGCUUAAAGGGCGCGUAGGCGGGCGGUCAAGUCAGGGGUGAAAUCUUUCGGCUCAACCGGAAAAGUGCCUUUGAUACUGGCCGUCUCGAGGGAGGUAGGGGCAUGCGGAACUUCCGGUGGAGCGGUGAAAUGCGUAGAUAUCGGAAGGAACGCCGGUGGCCGAAGCGGCGAUGCUGGACC
rnacentral:rRNA from 1 species